UACGGAGGGGGUUAGUGUUGUUCGGAAUUACUGGGCGUAAAGCGCGCGUAGGCGGAUCAGAAAGUUGGGGGUGAAAUCCCGGGGCUCAACCCCGGAACUGCCUCCAAAACUCCUGGUCUUGAGUUCGAGAGAGGUGAGUGGAAUUCCGAGUGUAGAGGUGAAGUUCGUAGAUAUUCGGAGGAACACCAGUGGCGAAGGCGGCUCACUGGCUCGAUACUGACGCUGAGGUGCGAAAGCAUGGGGAGCGAACCGG
rnacentral:misc_RNA from 1 species